UGCUUUUUUUUUUUUCAUCCUAAAAGCGCUCUAAAAAUUUCUAUCAAAAGUUUUCCUGCCCACCAAUUCUGAAAAGGCAAAAGAGAUACCCGCUGAAAUAUUUUACCCAAUUCCAAAUUUGCCACCACUAAAAUAUUUCGCCCAAUUCUAGAUUUCCCACCGCUGAAAUAUUUUGCCCCUUCCAAAAUUACCUCCGCUGCUUAUUCGUUGUUUCACCGCCAUCGUGACCCAAAUUCCUUUAAUAGAUUCUAUUUUGUCCUUAUUUCAAAUAAUGCCCUCGACUAGAGAACUUGCUCGGCUCCAUCUUUUUCUCCGGCGACUCAUUCGGCGAAAUCGAUUUGUAACUUGUAGAAUGCAAUAUUGGUUAACUUGUUCAGUGCUAGUCGUUGCGAUUUCCUCUUCCGUCACGGUUGGUUGCCAGUAAGGUGUUGGUUGUUCUCAUAAUUACAUUCUUUUUCUUAUUUUUUAAGAUAUCGGUUAGUCAUAGCUAGUCUUAUGUAUGCUAAUUUUGGUUUCUAUUGUUGUGGCUUUGCUGAUUCGGACAAUGUUAUUACCCUUCAGCCAAACACUUUGAGAUUUGUUCAUGUUGGUGUAUCAUUUAACAUUUUGUCUGCAAUAAGUCUCAAAUUUGAUUAUAGUAUUGCAAAGGUGAUGAAGAAGGCAGUAGUUGCUCAGCGACCCCAAGAGGCGCAAGGUUGAUGUGACUCGUGCACGGGUUGUGAUAAGCCAAAAUUUUUCACAUUCCUCUGGAUCAAUGUAUGGUCUGAUUCUUGAAAAGGUAUGGGGAGGCAAAACUACUAAAUAGAACAAAGAGAUUACAAUUAGGGAACUUAAGGCCCAGAAGCAUUCAGAAGUUUUUGCUGGUUUGAACAAGGAAAGCUCACCUGCUGCUUAGAUUAUUGGGGUGGUCAAGCUUAUGAAAAUGGAUCAGUUACAAAAUUAGGAGAUUGAUGUGUAGGGGGCUAAGGUCUAAGGGGAUCGCAAAUGGGAUUUCUAAUGUAUACUGGCUUCAGUAGUAUAACAUGUUUAAGGUGUUAUUCAUGAUAGAAUAUAUCUGAUUUUGUAAAGCUCAUCUCUAGUGGCGACCUUUGAAGUUUUUGCUUUAUUAGUUAAUGUAGUAAGUACAUGAUAUAUAUUUCUUUUCCGAAGUUCAUUGCAAGUGUAUUUGAAUC